rnacentral:rRNA from 1 species
CAAUAGCGUAUAUUAAAGUUGUUGCGGUUAAAAAGCUCGUAGUUGGAGUUCUGCCAGGUGCCGCCUGUCCGCCCCAGUGGUGAGUACGUGGCGCGCAUUUGGCCCUUUCAAGGGGAGCGUAUCUGCACUUUAUUGUGUGGUGCGGGAUCCUUGACUUUUACUUUGAGGAAAUAGGAGUGUUCCAAGCAGGCUCUCGUCGUGCACAGCUCAGCAUGGAAUAAUAGCAUUGGACCUCGAUUCUAAGCUGUUGGUUGCCAGAAGCGAGGUAAUGAUGAAGAGGGAUAGUUGGGGGCAUUCGUAUUUAACUGUCAGAGGUGAAAUUCUUGGAUUUGUUAAAGACGGACUUCUGCGAAAGCAUCUGCCAUGGAUGUUUUCAUUGA